CAGCUGGGCUGGGCGACCGCGUUUGCCGAAAGGUGACCGAGGAAAGUCCGGGCACCAUGGGAAUAGGGUGGCGGGUAAUCCCCGCCGGGGGCAACCCCAGAGAAAGUGCCACAGAAAAUAAACCGCUCUGCGAGCAGAGUAAGGGUUCAAGGGUGGGGUAAGAGCCCACCGCGCCGGUGGUAACAUGCGGCGGCACGGCAAACCUCACCCGGUGCAAGACCAGAUAGGCAGGCAAUCGGUAUUCCCACCGGCCUGCGGGUAGGUUGCUCGAGCGGCUUGGUAACAAUCCGCCUAGAUGAAUGGCCGCCACUCGCCUUAUGUCUUCGGGCUUCAGCGAGAACAAAACCCGGCUUACAGGCCCAGCUGGAAU
rnacentral:RNase_P_RNA from 1 species